rnacentral:rRNA from 1 species
UAGGUAAGGAAUAGCUACGGGAAACUGUAGGUAAUNCCUUAUAAUAUGUGCACCCCUNAAAGAGUUAUCGCCUAGAGAGGAGCCCGUGCCAGAUUNNGUCGUUGGUGGGGUAACAGCCUACCAAGCCUAUGAUCUGUAGUUGGUCUGAGAGGAUGAUCAGCCACACUGGGACUGAGAACGGCCCAGACUCCUACGGGGGGCAGCAGUGGGGAAUAUUGGACAAUGGGGGAAACCCUGAUCCAGCAAUGCCGCGUGAGUGAAGAAGGCCUUUGGGUUGUAAAGCUCUUUCACCUGUGACGAUAAUGACGGUAGCAGGACAAGAAGCCCCGGCUAACUCCGUGCCAGCAGCCGCGGUAAGACGGAGGGGGCAAGCGUUAUUCGGAAUUACUGGGCGUAAAGGGUGCGUAGGCGGUUUUUUAAGCAAGGUGUGAAAGCCCUGGGCUCAACCCAGGAACGGCGCUUUGAACUGAAGAACUAGAGUACGAAAGAGGAAAGAGGAAUUCCUAGUGUAGGGGUGAAAUCCAUAGAUAUUAGGAAGAACACCAAAGGCGAAGGCGACUUUCUGGUUCGUAACUGACGCUGAGGCACGAAAGCGUGGGGAGCAAAUAGGAUUAGAUACCCUAGUAGUCCACGCUGUAAACGAUGAAUGCUAGACGUUGGAGGUUCGUCCUUCAGUGUCGCAGCUAACGCGUGAAGCAUUCCGCCUGGGGAGUACGGUCGCAAGAUUAAAACUCAAAGGAAUUGACGGGGGCCUGCACAAGCGGUGGAGCAUGUGGUUUAAUUCGACGCAACGCGCAAAACCUUACCAGCUUUUGACAUAGGGACAGAAGGCAUCAGAGAUGAAGCCUGCGGUUCGGCCGGGUCCCGUACAGGUGCUGCAUGGCUGUCGUCAGCUCGUGUCGUGAGAUGUUGGGUUAAGUCCCGCAACGAGCGCAACCCUCGUUCUUAGUUGCCAGCAGUUCGGCUGGGGACUCUAAGAAAACUGCCGGUGACAAGCCGGAGGAAGGUGGGGAUGAUGUCAGGUCCUCAUGGCCCUUAUGGGCUGGGCUACACACGUGCUACAAUGGCGAUCACAAUGAGAAGCAAGGGGGUGACCCGGAGCCAAUCUCUAAAAAUCGUCUCAGUUCGGAUUGUUCUCUGCAACUCGAGAGCA